GACGAACGCUGGCGGCAUGCUUAACACAUGCAAGUGGAGCGACGAACCUUUUAGGGGCAAAGCCGCGAACGGGUGAGUAACACGUGGGCAAUCUGCCCAGUUGACUGGAAUAACUCGAGGAAACUCGAGCUAAUACCGGAUGUGCUUGCUUCUCACAAGAGGAGUAAGUAAAGGGAGCUUCGGCUAUCCGCAAUUGGAGGAGCCUGCGGCGCAUUAGCUUGUUGGUGGGGUAACGGCCUACCAAGGCAUCGAUGCGUAGCUGGUCUGAGAGGACGAUCAGCCACACUGGAACUGAGACACGGUCCAGACUCCUACGGGAGGCAGCAGUGGGGAAUCUUGCACAAUGGGCGACAGCCUGAUGCAGCAAUGCCGCGUGAGGGAAGACGGCCUCGGUUGUAACUACGUUCUAGUUGGGUAGUGAAGGUU
rnacentral:rRNA from 1 species